rnacentral:rRNA from 1 species
GGUACGUACUGGCAUUGUUGGUUUCUCCCUUCUGACGAACCAUGAUGUCAUUUAUUUGGUGUUGUGGGGAAUCAGGACUGUUACUUUGAAAAAAUUAGAGUGUUUAAAGCAGGCUCACGCUUGAAUACAUUAGCAUGGAAUAAUGAAAUAGGACGUUUGAUUCUAUUUUGUUGGUUUCUAGGAUCGACGUAAUGAUUAAUAGGGAUAGUUGGGGGCAUUAGUAUUCAAUUGUCAGAGGUGAAAUUCUUGGAUUUAUUGAAGACUAACUACUGCGAAAGCAUUUGCCAAGGAUGUUUUCAUUAAUCAAGAACGAAAGUUAGGGGAUCGAAGACGAUCAGAUACCGUCGUAGUCUUAACCAUAAACUAUGCCGACUAGGGAUCGGAUGAUGUUAAUUUUUUAAUGACUCAU